CCUCUCAUAGCGUAGUGGUUAACGCGCCCCAACUAGAGAUCGGGGAGUCGUGAGUUCGAUUCUCACUGAGAAGA
rnacentral:tRNA from 1 species